UGUACAGCUGAGAACGUGCUGGGGAGGAGGACAUCUGAAUCCAUCUCUGUUAAUGUGAAAUAUGCUCCAAAGCUUCCCUCUGUGUCAGUGAGUCCCUCUGCUGAGAUAGUGGAGAACAGUUCAGUCAAUCUGACCUGUAGCAGUGAU